GAUCAUGGGCUCAGGAUGAACGCUGGCGGCGUGCCUAACACAUGCAAGUCGAACGAGGUAUUUUGAUUGAAGUUUUCGGAUGGAUUUCAAGAUACCGAGUGGCGGACGGGUGAGUAACGCGUGGGUAACCUGCCUCAUACAGGGGGAUAACGGUUAGAAAUGACUGCUAAUACCGCAUAAGCGCACAGUACCGCAUGGUACGGUGUGAAAAACUCCGGUGGUAUGAGAUGGACCCGCGUCUGAUUAG
rnacentral:rRNA from 1 species